CCUACGGGUGGCAGCAGUCGAGAAUCAUUCACAAUGGGGGAAACCCUGAUGGUGCGACGCCGCGUGGGGGAAUGAAGGUCUUCGGAUUGUAAACCCCUGUCAUGUGGGAGCAAAUUAAAAAGAUAGUACCACAAGAGGAAGAGACGGCUAACUCUGUGCCAGCAGCUGCGGUACUACAGAGGUCUCAAGCGUUGUUCGGAAGCACUGGGCGUAAAGCGUGCGUAGGCUGUGUCGUAAGUCGUGUGUGAAAGGCGCGGGCUCAACCCGCGGACGGCACAUGAUACUGCGAGACUAGAGUAAUGGAGGGGGAACCGGAAUUCUCGGUGUAGCAGUGAAAUGCGUAGAUAUCGAGAGGAACACUCGUGGCGAAGGCGGGUUCCUGGACAUUAACUGACGCUGAGGCACGAAGGCCAGGGGAGCGAAAGGGAUUAGAUACCCCGGUAGUC
rnacentral:rRNA from 1 species